rnacentral:tRNA from 1 species
UCUCAGAUAGUAUAGUGGUCAGUAUUUCGGCUUGUCAGUAGACAAUUCGCCGGAGGCCGGGGUUCGAUUCCCCGUCUGAGAG